ACGCUCGACACCUACGGGAGGAGCAGUGAGGAAUAUUGGUCAAUGGACGCAAGUCUGAACCAGCCAUGCCGCGUGCAGGAUGACGGCUCUAUGAGUUGUAAACUGCUUUUGUACGAGGGUAAACGCAGAUACGUGUAUCUGUCUGAAAGUAUCGUACGAAUAAGGAUCGGCUAACUCCGUGUCAGCAGCCGCGGUAAUCUGAGCGGGCUGGCAAGGC
rnacentral:rRNA from 1 species